rnacentral:lncRNA from 1 species
UUACUCUGCCAACUAGGUCCAAACCCACCUUGCCAGCAAGCAUCCUAAUAACAUUUAGCCUUUAAACCAAAUUAUUUAAAAUUUCCUACAAUUCCCAAAUCAUCGUCUUCCACGACAACUUCGCAGAACCCCACCUACACCUUUCGUUAAUUCUUUUGAUUUGUUUCUUUAUGUAUGUUUCUAUCUUCUUACUUUCUUUCCUUAAUUGUUUUCAUCUUCAAAUUUGUGAAAAAAUUUCGAUUUUUACUUCCUUUUAGAGCCGAGAUUUUAGCCCCAAUUUUAGCUCAAGCCGCUGUCAUGAUUGGCAUGCUCUUCUUUCCAUUUCGACAUUCGCAGAUUCAAGUCAAUUGGAUGAAUGUGGACAGAUUUUCGGGUAAGUGCUUCACCUAUUCUUCGCUUUCUUGUAUUGAUUAGAUUGUAAUUUUGGAAACUCAAUUACCAAUAUUCUCUUCUGAUUUUUUGGUUUGUGAAGAAGGUUACUUUUCUAAUUUUACUGAUUAUGUAACGCAACGUUUCCAAUAAUCAUAAUCUCUAUCUGUCAAAAUCAAUCAUCAAACGUUCAUUUUUUACUCCAAUUUCGCUUCAAUCCCCAAAUCCUUGCCUAACGAGAAUUUUGAUACACGAUAGUAUGAUUCUUUUCUAUUAUAGGGACACACUCUUAAGUCUAAUUAUUCUCUACUAUAAAUACUGACUAGUUCUAUGCGCUAAGGGGGAUUUUUCAUGAAUUAUUUAUACAUUUCUACCACAACUUAUAAGUAUACACUUGAUUCAUCUCUAUACCCCCUUUUUCUACUACGGCAUAUGGGUUAUAGUUACACUUUAUUCACAUCUGCUUGCAAGGCUUGCGACUGAACUUUCACAUCCCUACACUACAUAUUCAACCGAUUGAUCAUUGCUUUGAUUUUCUCUUUCUAGUUUCUGUCCUUGCACUAUUAUUUCGAUUCCGCUAUUUUAUUACUAUGCUGGCUGCAAGUCAAAGCAGAGAUUAGCUUUCUCUCAUUACUGGUACUGCUAUUGUUGCUCCUCCAUCAACACGAAACUUGAUUGGUGUUCAUCGAGACCUUAGAAAAUACAAAGUUGUCAAGAGCUUGGGGCUUUCUGCGCUUACUUCAUUCCGGUGGUUAUAGCUUAUAUUUCAAAUUUAGUACCAAUACAUAUAUGGUUUUCUUUACUUUUUCGAUUAUUCGCACUUGGCAAACAGGUAAGUUUCUUGCCUCUCGCAUAUUACUUUUUCUCUAUGUGCAGUUGUGUGUAGAUUUGUUCUUUUUUUUAUAUGUUCGAGUGCUCUUAAGCAUUCUGCUGGAAGAAACGAGAUGUGUCCCCUUGUCUUUUGCAUUUUUUACUGUGUGUAUGCCGAAUGUCAGAUUACUUUUCUUUUUGUGUCUUUGGUUCGGCUGUGCGGAUGUGAAUGCUUUAAGCAUUCUGUUUGGAAGCAAAACAGGUUAGUACCUCGUCUUUCGCUUUCAGUCCCGAUGUGUAAUAAGAGUAGUCGGACUUAUGCGACCUAAUCUGAACGAAUCCUCUAUUGUGUAGAGAUCAAGUGUAUACAUUUAUGUUUCACAUGCUUAAGAAUUUUAAUCACCUAAUCAUUUUCUAGGAUUGAACUAAUUAAUGGCGACAAGUGUGAAUUUCAUACCCAACAAGCAAUUCAUGAGUUCUGCUAAGAUGCCCCCUAAGGUGAAUAAUAACAGUAAGACAUACUUUUUGUUAAGGCCCAAGUCUAGUAACAUCCUGUAUUUGUUCUUGCGAUUUGAAUUUAGCUCGAAAUCAUGGAAAGCCUUUUUUGAAUGCAUAACGAUCAUGUUUGUAGGGAAAUACAUCGGUAAUUAAGCCCGAAGUCUGCUUCUAUGGUAAAUUAACCUGCAAUAUAUGUCUUCUUUGUGUAAAUGGGGCAUAUUUUUGAUGUUUGAGUCAAGUUGGGAGUCGCAUGUGAUUGGGAAAGCCAAGAUGAUUUGUUUCGAAGUUCAUGUUUGCCUAUUUAGUUUCUCGAACUCUGGAUUGUAAACUCUAUUCAAUUGGCAUGUAAUAACUUGAUAUGAUAAUGAAUUGGGGACUAUUGGGAUGGAGUGACUAAUUGCUCUCUGUGUUUCUUGACCUUUUUUAAAAAAAAGUUUAAAUAGCAUCUCUAUUAUAGUACCUAUUAUAGCUUAGCAGAUACAUCUAGCUAUAAGAUAAAGAAGCUUUUGUCUAAUUCUAUGCUGAACAAUGGCUCUCGUUCGUGAUAGUAAUAUAGGUUUUUGAAAAACACCAAGUUUUCUGCAUUUUGCUACUCAAAUCUUUUGUAAAUAUUUAACAAACAUCUCAAGUGUUGAAGCUUCUGGGCCACUUGCAUAAAAUGAGUAGAACCUAUUCCAUAUAUUGUUGAACUUCAUUUUUCAGAGAAAAGAAAUAAAUUUUUAGUACCUAACUAGAAUACAUCUUUGGGCUUGUCCAACUAUUUCUUCUCCCUUAUCAUAAUGCUUGGGCACGUUACCUUAGCAUUUAUCUCAAUGAUCAGUUCUUUCAAUUUGAAUUGCCCAGUUCAUCUCCUUGAAUAAGCUUUGAUCUCCUUCAUUUUACUACUCUUACAUCUAAUACCUACUACAUUCGUGUUUAUUAUUAUCAUGCCUUUGAAUCUUAAAAUUAGAAAAUUUCACUAUAUCUUAAGAGCUUAUUUUCUUACUAUACUAAUUAUUACUUGUUUACUUAAUUAAUUCGGAGGCCUACGUGAGCCCUUACUUGCCUUAUGUGUUACUUGGUUAAGUCCUAAUGUGCUCCCUUUUAUGUGACGCUAAUAAGAAUAGAAAUUGAAACCUGAGCUUUUCUUUAAGUCUAAAAUUUCCCUUUAGAUAGUGUCCAACGCCUCCUGGACUAUAGGAAGGGACAGGUAGUUUUGAAUUAAGACGUGAUUUAGAAUUAAUUAGUGCGUUCUUAGGUUAACAAUUUAAAGAUAGUAAUGAGAGUAGCGGACAUGAUACAUAAAUUGCCCAAAUAGUCAUUGCACUUUUGGCUAUAAAAGUCUUAGCAGACUUUGCUCGAGAGUUGAUAUGUUAGGCUUAAAAACUUAGGUCCCCCUUUAACAUAAUCAAUUAGUCUUUCAUAAAAAUAUUUAUUACAACUCUUACAUGUUUUUAUUCUUUUCAUGAUCAGAUUUAAUUAAUUUAUGUGCUUUCCGUUGAUGUGCAUAUUUGACCACCUACGAUUAAUUAACAAUUUAGCAACCUAGUUUAACUUAAUAAAUCCUACAUAGUGUAUAAUUCGGUCGGGACCCACAGUUGUGGACCUCUAAGAGUGCCUAACAUCUUCUCUUUGAGGUAAUUUGAGCCCUUACCCGAUCUUUGGUGACACAGACUAGUUCAAACAGAGUUAUUUACAAGUAGGUGCCCUAACGCACCUUAAAAACCGUUAAGUGGCGACUCUCCUCUUUUAAUACCCAUUUAAAAGAGUUGUCACCAUGUCGAAGCCCGCUUUCGCGAGAAAAUGGGGCGCGACAGGAGUAUUUGCAUCCACAUCUCUCACAAAAGCCAAAUAUGACAAAUACCCCUUCCUAACCAUACGCUGGGUUUUCAAAUAAGAAAUUACCCUGCUGUGAACCUGAUCUAGAGAACCUCUCCAUUCGACCUUCGACAACCCUGGCAUCACCAACGUCACGUUUUUUGCGUGACAGUCCAGAAUAGCAUGACAUGGAGACAACCAAUCUAUACCCAGGAUUACAUCGAAAUCAACUAUAGUAAGCAGUAAGAGAUGAACUCUAGUCUCUAGUCUCCCAAUAGUUACCACACAAAACCGAUACACAUGGUCCACGAUAAUAGUAUCGCCCACCGGCAUAAAUACACAAACAGGUGAAACUAAGGACUCACGGGGCAUAUCCAGNNNNNNNNNNNNNNNNNNNNNNNNNGGCAUACUGAGACAAUACCUGUGAUCACUGCAUCUGAAGCAACAACAUCUGGCCUGGCAAGAAAAGUAUAGAAUCGGGCCUGACCGUUACCUGAUCGGCCUUCUAGAUGACUGAGCCCUACCCCGAGCUGGCUGGGCAGAUAGCAACUGGUACAAAAGUAGUAGUUUGACUCCUCUACUGAACUGGACCUCGAGUAAGGCGGGGAAAAAAUUUUCUCACAUGACCCAACUCUCCAUACUCAUAACACUUCCUCUCGAAGAAUGGUGGCGAGUUCUGAGGCGGACCUCCAGAACCGGAAUAAUUACUAGAAAAACCUUGUAUAGAUGAUCCCUGAACUGAAGGAGCAUGGGGCGUACUCUGGGCUGGAAGGGCAUCGAAAGAUGACUGACCCUGAUGAGAACUGUAUAAACCAUGGCUGGAUGAUGCACCACAGUGAACUAGACGACCCCUUUGAGCGUGUAUGUAAGAAAGACCCCUACCGCGGUAAAACUGACCCCCUGAAGGGACACCGCUGAAACCACCUGGUCCACGAGACCUCUUGGCCUCCCUCUAUCCACGUUCCUAGCUACUGACCAUUUCUAUCUGCCGAGCAAUGUCAACUACCUCAUCAAAAGUAGCACCAGAUACCCUAUCCCUAGUCAUAAGUAAUUGUAGCUGAUAUAUGAGGCCAUCAAUGAACCUUCUAAUCCUCUCCCUAUCAGUGGGAACCAACAAAACUGCGUGACGAGCCAACUCAGAAAAUCUCAUCUUGUACUGCGUCACAGACAUGUCAUCUUGACGUAAUUGCUCAAACUGCCUGCGCAACUCCUCUCUACAAGACUACGACACAAACUUCUCCAAAAAGAGAACAGAGAACUCUUGCCAUGUAAGUGGUACUGCACCGACUGGCCUGCGUCUCUCAUAAUCCUCCCACCAACUAAAGGCAGCUCCAGAAAAUUGAAAAGUAGCGAACGAGACCCUACUGGUCUCCAAAAUACCCGAUGUCUGAAGCAUCCGCUAGCAUUUAUCUAGAAAACCCUGAGCAUCCUCUGACUCAGCACCGCUAAAUGAUGGAGGCCGAAGCUUCCCAAAUCUCUCAAGUCUCCUCUGCUCAUCAUCUACCAUAAUGGGGACUACUGGGGCCUGAGCAACUGCAGCUGGCUGAAUUGGUAGUGCCCCCGGUAUCUGAAGUCCCUGCACUACCUGAUCUGGAGUACGAGCAAUAGGGGUAUGAGUACCUCCCCCGGCCUGAGAAGUGGAAGGUGCGGCCUGAGCCGAAACCACCUGAGCAAGGCCAGUGCAAACUGUCAAUAUCUAGGCCAGAGCCUCCUGAAAGCCUGGAAUUACAAUGGGCACAACUGGUACCUGAGAUGGUCCUGUCGGCUCAUUUAUAUAUAGAAUCUGCUCCUGAGCUGGAGAAACCGAUGGUGCUACAGGUGCUGCUCCAACUGCUGUACGAGCUACACCUCGAACUCUACCUCGGCCCCAGACUCUACCAAGGCCCCGGACUCUCACGGCCAUAACUGAUGGUACUGGUAGCUGACUAUCCGAUCCGUUAGUACGUGUCCUCACCAUCUGUGAGAGAAUAUAAUAACAGAAAUUUAGUUUCCAGAAUCAACAAAUUCGCACGACAGAAUACAAGAAAGUAAAAUUUUUCCAAGGGUUUGACAGCCUCUCGAAGAUAAGUACAGACGUCUGCGUACCGAUCCUCAAGACUCCACUCAACCUGCUCAAGAAUCGUGAGACCUAUAUAACCUAGGCUCUAAUACUAACUUGUCACGACCCAAAAUCUCACCUGUCGUGAUGGUGCCUAUCUCAAUACUAGGCAAGCCGACAAUCUCAAUAAACCACCAUAUCUUUUGAGUUUGAAAAUAUAAUAAUUAAAUUCAGUGGAAGAAAUCUCACAAAUACAAAUAUAAACAUUCCCAAAACCCGGUGUCACUGAGUACAUGAGCAUCUAAAUGAAUAAAAAGUCUGACUGAUAAAAAAAAUCGUUGUUUGAAAUAUAGAACAGUAAAAUAACUAAACAGGAAGGGAAUCAAGUCCGCGGACGUCAAGCAGCUACCUUGAUAGUCUCCAACAAAAGUAAUUCUGAAAUCUAGCAGCCGUCGUAUCCGGAAGCAUCUGGAUCUGCACACGAGGUGCAGAUUCUAGUAUGAGUACAACCAACUCAAUAAGUAAUAAAACUAACCUCUCGGUUGAAAGUAGUGACGAGCUCUGUGAGUACAGUCCAGUAUAAAUAGUGGUACCAAAAUGUAGGCAUGUUUUCAAGUUCAACAGUUAAACUCAUUACAAGUGAAAUGGAUCAAUACUAUAUGAUAUGAGGAAUAUGACAUCUCAGUAGAAAGGCCUCAUGUAAAUACUAGUCACAAAUUAUUCGGUCACUCAAUACUGUUUAUGGCCAAUCCAGCCCAGGUAUAUUCCGUCCCGUAUAUAUAUACACAUCAAUUGACAACCAGUUACUCAGUACCGUAUAAGGCCAAUCCAGCCCUGGGUAAUUUAUCCCCAAUGUAAAUUAUACGGACAAGAUCCAUGUCCAGGAAAAAUUCAUCACUACAUAUAAAUAAGUAAGGUAAGUCCAUGCCCUGGGAAGUCCAUCCCGAAUAUAUAUAAUCAUCUACGCUUACUGGGGUGUGCACAGACUCCGGAGGGGCUCCUUCAGCCCAAGCACUAUAUAAAGCCGAUAUGGCCUACUACGGCGUGCAGUCCGAUCCCAUAAUAAUAAUAAAGCCUAUAAGGCUUGCUGCAAUCGGGCAUCUCCUAUCCAUAUAAUAAUAAUAUAUAUAAAGCCAAUAUGGCCUACUGCGGCGCGCAACUCGAUCCCAUAAAUAUCCUCACAAUGGAUGAAUAUGACUGAGUGUGAAAUGUACAUUUUUAAAACAAUUAAUUCAACAUCAACACAACCCCAUCGAUUUUAAAAUAUUGGCACGUAGCCUAAACNNNNNNNNNNNNNNNNNNNNNNNNNAAGUCACAAUUUCAAUGGUGCACAUCCAUACGCUCGUCAACUAUCGUGUGCGGCACCUCCAAACAAUUAUUAUAACAACAAUUUGGGGAUUCAUACUUUCAGAACCAAGUUUUGAAGUAUUACUUACCUCAAAGCCGCGUAAUUUCUUACUCCGCUAUGUCCUUGCCUCGUGAAUUGGUCCCUAAAUGUCCCGAAUCUAGCUAUAAGCAGUGCAGUAUAAUCAAUAUAGGCUAAAGGAAUCAAUUCCACAAGAAAAUACGAAAUUAUAGCCAAAAUUUGAAAUCGUCUCAAACACCCCCCGGGUCCCAUGUCUCGAAAUCCGACAAAAGUCACAAAACCCGAAAGCCCAUUCACUCACGAGUCUAACCAUACUAAUUUUACUCAAAUCCGAUAACAAAAUCCCAUUCAAAACCUCAAAUUUCUAGUCCAAGAACUCUUCCUCAUUUUUCCCAAAUUUCCAUCUCAAAACACUAAUUAAAUGAUGAAAACAAUGAUAUAUUCGUGUAUAUUGACCAAAUCCGAGUUAAAAUCACUUACCCCGAUGUUUUUCCUUGAGAAUCUCUCAAAAAUCGCCUCUCUCCAUGCUCCAAUUUAUCAAAAAUGAAAAAGGGACGAAACCCCAUUUUAUAACUUAAAUUUCUGUCCAGGCGCUGGCCUCGAUUUUCAUGACCUCGAUUUUUCUGGCCUCGAUUUUCAUGACCUCGAUUUUCCUGGUUUCGAUUUUCUUGAUCUCGAUUUUCAUGACCUCGAUUUUCAUGACCUCGAUUUUCUGACUUCGAUUUUCAUGACCUCGAUUUUCAUGACCUCGAUUUUUCCAGCAGAAGUUUCUAGCAGAAAAAUUCCAGUAGCUGUUUUAGUCUAAAUUUUGAUCCGUUAACCAUCCGAAACUCACCCGACGCCCUCGGGACCUCAACCAAAUACACCUACAAGUACUAAAACUUCAUACGAACUUAGUUGAAACCUCAAAUCCCAUAAAAUAACGCUAAAAUCACGAAUCAUACCCCAAUUCAUGCUUGAGAAACUUAAGAAUUUUCAACUUCUACAUUCGAUGCUGAAACCUAUCAAAUCAAUUCCGAUUGACCUCAAAUUUUGCAUACAAGUCAUAAAUGACAUAACAGAUCUAUUAAAAUUGUCAGAACUGGAUUCUGACCACGAUAUCAAAAAGUCAAUUCCCCAGACAAACUUCCCAAAAAUUCAACUUUUGCAAUUUCAAGCCAAAUUCUAUUACGGACUUUAUAAAAGAAUUUCGGACACGCUCCUAAGUCCAAAAUCAUCAUACGAAGCUAUUAGAAUCAUCAAAACUCUAUUCCGGGUUCGUUUACACAUAAUUUGACAUACAAUCACUAUUUUAACUUAAUUUUAAACCUUGGAACUAAGUGUUACAAUUCAUUCCUAAAACCUCACCGGACCCAAACUAAUCACCCCGGCAAGUCACAUAACAACUGUGAAGUAUAAAUUGAGCAAUAAAAUGGGGGAAUAGGGCUACAACUCUCAAAACGACUGGUCGGGUCGUUACAGCAGUCAAAAGACACUUUCCAUCCAUUAAUUUCAAGCUUUCCAACAAACUUCAAUUGAUUCUUCCUCAAACCCGACCUUCACAAUGAUUUGAAUGCAAAGAUUAUUAACCUCCAUGGGUAUGACUAUUCUAGUUCCACAUGAAUUUUGCUCGAGCUUAAUUCCAAAGUGUUUCGAUUCUUUAUUCAUCCUCAAAAGUAUCUUGUUCUCAGUUAUCCAGUUCAAAAUUAAAUCAGUUACUGGCCAAAACUCCACAUGCAUGUCAUGUCACUAGAACUAGCAGGAAAAGAACUAAGCACAGAAUGAAACAAAAAGGACAAACUAUAUUUCAUUGAAUAACAGAUAGAAUGAGAGCUGAAAUCUGGGUUACAACCCUGUAUAACCCAUAUAACAGAAAAGACGACAAAAUAAGCUACCAAGACUCCUCCCUGGCUAAAGAGGAGUGACUUUUCAGUUACCAAGCGACAUCUUAGCCACGGACUAGCACAUAAACAUUACUACGACAUUCAACCAUUUUUAUUUCUAUGGAUUGAGCACUUAAAUUUUGACUUUUGAUCAAACCGCCCCCAUAUUGACUAUCAGAUUUUAGGACUUACAACAUGGGAACUUUCACAGUAACUAAUUUGCCAAAGGGCUUGGACUGUAAUGACCCGGUUGGUCGUUUUGAGAAUUUAAGUCCCGUUCGAUGGCAUAAGGCCCUGAGCAGCUUCAUAUUAUGUGUAUUAACUUGCGUGCAUGGUUAAAUUCAGUUACCGGAUGUUUCAGAGUGAUUUGGGACACUUAGUCCCUAAAACGGAAGUUUAAGUCUUAGGAUUUCGACCGUAGUCGGAAUUAUGUGAAGACGACUUCGGAAUGGAGUUUCGUCGGUUUCAUUAGCUCCGUUGGAUGAUUUUGGACUUAGGAGCAUGUCCGGACUGUAAAUCCGAGGUCUGUAGCUGAUUUAGGCUUGAAAUGGCAAAAGUCAAAUUUUUGGAGUUUUGGACCGGUAGUGGAAUUUUUGAUAUCGGAGUGGGAAUCCGAUUCCGGAAGUUGGAGUAGGUUCGAAAUGUUGAAUAUGACUUGUGUGUAAAAUUUGAGUUCAUUCAAACGUGGUUUGAUAGGUUUCGGCAUCGGUUGUAGGAAUUUAAAGUUUCAAGUUCUUUAAGUUUGAAUUGGAGGAUGAUUCGUGAUUUUAGUGUUAGUUGAUAUAAUUUGAGGGCUCGACUAAGUUCGUAUGGUGUUUAAGGAUUGGUUGGUAUGAUUGGUUCAGGUCCCGGGGGCCUCGGGGUGAGUUUUGGGUGCUUAACGGAUUAAAAGUUUAAUUUGUGUAGCUGCUGAAGUUUUCAGGCAUCUGGUAUUUUCGCGCCUGCGGUGAAGAGACCGCAGAUGCGGGAGCGUACGUGCGGAGAGGCACGCGCAGAAGCGGAAAAGUAGAGGAGUGCCAGGGGUCGUAGGUGCGAGGAAAAUUCUGCAUCUACGAUGCCCGCAUGUGCGAAGAUGGAGGCGCAAGUGCAAGAAGAGCUGGACUUGGCAGUCUCCGCAGGUGCGGAGAAUUUGUGCGCAUCAGCAGACUCGCACGUGCGGAGAUGGAAGCGCAGAUGCGAGAAUUGCGAGUUGGCCUGGGGUCGCAGGUACGAGGAAGUUCCGCAUCUGCGAUACUCGCGGAUGCGCAGAAGGCUCGCAGGUGCGGAGGCUGUGGAAGUUAGUGACUUCCGCAGGUGCGACUGGUUAAACCGCAGGUGCGGUAGGCGCAGGUGCGAGAAAUGAUCGCAGGUGCGAGGAUCGCUAGGCAGAAAGGGGUUGGAAUCGAGGGUUAGUUCAUUUUUCACUCUAUUUUUUAAUUUUUAGCUCGGGAGAAGGCGAUUCUUUGAGGGAUUUUCAGAGGAAUCUUGUGGGUAACGAUUUCUUACUCGAAUUUGGAUUUAUUGCAUUAAUCUAUAGUUGUUUCUCCAUUUAAAUUCGGAUUUUUGGGGUUGAAAUGGGGAAAAAUUGGAAGAACUUCUUCAAUAAAGAUUUUGAGUUUUGAAGGGAGAUUUAUAGUCGGAUUUGAGUAAUUCUUAUAUGGUUGGACUCGUGAGUGAAUGGGUGUUCGUAUUUUGUGAUUUUUACCCGAUUUCAAGAUGUGGGCCCGAGUCGACUUUUUAGGGCGAAUUUCGGAAUUUUUGUUAAAAUAUUAAUUUCAUUGAUUAGAUGAGUCCAUUAUUGUUGUAUUCAUGUUAUGCAAUUGUGUUUGGCUAGAUUUGGGCCAUUCGGAAGGCAUUGUGACCGAUUGUUUUGAGCUUGGUUCGAGGCAAGUAUCUUGCCUAAUCUUGUGUGGGGGAUUUUCUCUUAGGAUUUGAGUCUUCUAUAUUGAUUGUAGUCCAUGUACGCGAGGUGACGAGUACGUGCUCGGACUUAUUUGUGGAAAGUUGGCCUUUUAGGACUCUUAGGUCCUUACAUUCACCGAGUAUGAAGUUGUUCUUGAUGUGAUUAAGUCCCCCACCGAGUAUGAAGGCAUUGUGACCGAUUGUUUUGAGCUUGGUUCGAGGCAAGUAUCUUGCCUAACCUUGUGUGGGGGAUUUUCUCUUAGGAUUUGAGUCUUCUAUAUUAAUUGUAGUCCAUGUACGCGAGGUGACGAGUACGUGCUUGGACUUAUUUGUGGAAAGUUGGCCUUUUAGGAUUCUUAGGUCCUUACAUUCACCAAGUAUGAAGUUGUUCUUGAUGUGAUUAAGUCCCUAUUUACUAGUUUCACCUCUACAUGCUUUAAUUAGAAUUAAUUGCUUCAGGAUUCACUCUUAUUGCCUAUUUGACUCUUAUUUGACUUAACUGAAGAUUUACCUUCUCUAUUGUCAUGCUAUCUUUUCAUAACUACUUAUCUUUAUUUGGAAUUAAUAUAUCGUCCUAUAAUUGUUCUGUCUUAAUUGAGGUUAUGAUUAUUUUUCCGCUGCUUAUCCUUAUUGUUGAAUAUCCUUCGUAAUUUUCUCAACCUUAAAAGAAGUUUAGAUAUCCUAUAUCUUAGUCGACUUGUUUUAUUUGGAAUUAUUUGACUCGUGCUAGCUUCCCUGUUGUUGAGAUGUGUAUUGUGGGAUUGUUGCUACACAUUAGUUUUUCCUUGUUGAGUUGUUCUCUUUACACCUAGCAUUCCAGACUGUGGUUAUUCCUUGUGAAUUGGUUCUACAUUUUCUUAUGAUUUAAAAGUUCUUGAGUUGAUUUAUUUUUCGUACUUUUUAUUAUUGCCAUUGUUGUAUUUGUUGUGGUGAUGCACGAGGUUUCUGCCGUGCGGUUGUUAUCAUUGUGAUGCACGAGGUUUCUGUCGUGCGGUUGUUAUGGGGUUGCACGAGGUUUCUGCAGUGUUAUUGUUACUAUUGAUAUUUGCACAUGCGACGUGAUAUAUAUAUAUAUAUAUAUAUAUAUAUAUGUGUGUGUGUGUGUGUGUGUGUGGUGGNNNNNNNNNNNNNNNNNNNNNNNNNNNNNNNNNNNNNNNNNNNNNNNNNNNNNNNNNNNNNNNNNNNNNNNNNNNNNNNNNNNNNNNNNNNNNNNNNNNNNNNNNNNNNNNNNNNNNNNNNNNNNNNNNNNNNNNNNNNNNNNNNNNNNNNNNNNNNNNNNNNNNNNNNNNNNNNNNNNNNNNNNNNNNNNNNNNNNNNNNNNNNNNNNNNNNNNNNNNNNNNNNNNNNNNNNNNNNNNNNNNNNNNNNNNNNNNNNNNNNNNNNNNNNNNNNNNNNNNNNNNNNNNNNNNNNNNNNNNNNNNNNNNNNNNNNNNNNNNNNNNNNNNNNNNNNNNNNNNNNNNNNNNNNNNNNNNNNNNNNNNNNNNNNAGGGGGAGGGUUGCGCAUGUGACGAGACAAGGUGGGAACAUUAUUUUGCACUGGCGAGACAAGGCGGGCACUUACUUUAUUAUUGCACACGUCGCGAGACAAGGUGGGUUGUGUCAGGGAUUGAUUUGUGAUGAUUUGUGACCUGGGGGCAUUCUUGUUGUUGAUAUUUGUGAAGUGAUAUACAUACCUGUGUGAGCUUUAUCUUGUGAAAGCUGUGAGAAAAUAUCUUACGUGUUGUCCGUUCUUUUUCCUUAUGCUUAUUUGCUGAUAUAGACUAUGGUAGGACACGUGCACAAACAUACACAUAGUUAAGAACUCUUAUCGGAUAAGAGGUGUUCUUGAUAUUGUUGAGCAUAGAUGCUCACCCUUGUUUACUUCCCUUCUAUGUGAGAAUGGCUCUAUUGGCACGUGAGUUGUCAGUGCGGUUAUGAGGGCACAUGAUGCCAAGUGUUAGGGUUCAAGUAUUGAGACCCGUGAGUUGUGAAUUGUCCGAGGUUCGGUUCCUCGUGAAGUUGUUGGCUAAAACCUGAUGUAAAAGCGGUUGUAGUUGCUGCGUUAUUACUUGUCCUUGUUGUAUUUGUUAUUUCGGAUUUAGGUUGGGUUCCAUUCAUUUUUCUGUGUCAUUUUUAUGAUAUUUCACUGACACUGGUUGUUUCCUUCCUUAUUGCCAUUACUGUACUGUGAACCAUAUUGCAUAGUCUUUAUGUAGACAUCAUACUUCAGUUGUUUAUAUACUUGUAUCGGUUUAGUUUAUUAGACUAGUGAGUGUCUUGAUUGUUCCUCGUCACUACCCCACCGAGGUUAGUCUUGAUACUUACUGGUCACCGCUUUGGUGUGCUCAUGCUACUCUUCUGCAUAUUUUAUUUUGUGUAGAUCCAGAAAAUCGUUCGUUAGCUAGCUGUGUGGACUGUUGCUGCGGAGACUCAAGGUAAAGCUGUCGUUGCGUUCGCAGGCUUCGGAGUCACCUUCAACUUUUCGUUUUGCACUGUUUAUUCUUAUUUCUGGACAGUUGUAUUUAUAAGUUUUCUAACAAACACUCUGUAGAGCUUAUGACUUAUACUACCGGUUUUGAAAAUUGCAAGAGAUUCUAUUUAAAUAAUGUUGUUGUUUUAAUUAUUGUUAGGCUUACCUAGUCCUUAAGACUAGGUGCCAUCACAAUACCCAAACGGAGGGAAAAUUGGGUCGUGACAUGGACGAAUUCUCAUGUCUCCCUAUCAUCACAGAUCAUCCAAGCAGAGCGUGUCUUGUUGCACAAAACUGGUAGAAGUCAGCCAACAUUUGCCUUCAUUUUUAUCACCAACUUGUCUACUUGCUUUUUCAUGAUCUUGCAUGGAUCAACAACAAUGGUACUUGUACCACUGGUUGAG